AACGCGAAGAACCUUACCAAGGCUUGACAUAUAGCGAAAAGUGGCAGAGAUGUCAUGUCCGCAAGGGCGCUAUACAGGUGGUGCAUGGUUGUCGUCAGCUCGUGUCGUGAGAUGUUGGGUUAAGUCCCGCAACGAGCGCAACCCUCGUUCUGUGUUACCAGCAUUCAGUUGGGGACUCACAGGAGACUGCCGGGGUCAACUCGGAGGAAGGUGGGGAUGACGUCAAAUCAUCAUGCCCCUUAUGUCUUGGGCUGCACGCAUGCUACAAUGGCCGGUACAAAGUGCUGCGAAAUCGUAAGAUUGAGCGAAUCACAUAAAGCCGGUCUCAGUUCGGAUUGAGGUCUGCAACUCGACCUCACGAAGUCGGAGUUGCUAGUAAUCGUAGAUCAGCAACGCUACGGUGAAUACGUUCCCGGGUCUUGUACACACCG
rnacentral:rRNA from 1 species